ACAGCCCUGAGCUCCAGUAUACAGGCUGCCCAAAGUCACCCCAAAACCAUAGACAUCUCAUAACUCAUUACUGGACACUUCAUUGCACUCCAGAGAGAAGAAAUCCAGCUCCACCCACCAGAACACCGACACAAGCUUCCCUAACCAGGAAACCUUGACAAGCCACCUGUACAAACCCACACACAGUGAGGAAACGCCACAAUAAAGAGAACUCCACAAACUGCCAGAAUACAGAAAGGACACCCCAAACUCAGCAAUUUAAACAAGAUGAAGAGACAGAGGAAUACCCAGCAGGAAUUGGAGUGAAAACUGACCUUUUCCAGUCCUGUGGCCACUGCUGAGUUUUCCAACUUUGCUGGCAUAUUGAGUGCAGCACUUUCACAGCAUCAUCUUCAGGAUUUGAAAUAGCUCAACUGGAAUUCCAUCACCUCCACUAGCUUCAUUCAAAGUGAUGCUUCCUAAGGCCCACUUGACUUCACAUUCCAGGAUGUCUGGCUCUAGCCUGUGUUCUUCUCAUUUGCCUAGAGAAAGAAUUCACAGAAUGAGAUGAAAAGUUCUGCUCAGGGUGAGAAGGGGCACUGAGGAGGCAGCGAUGACUCAGAGGUUUAGAAGACGGGCAACAAGAAAAGAUGGUGCUAAAUUGUAGAAACAAGUAAAUCAAUGCAGAGGAAAAGCAAAUCCACCAUCCCAGGUCAGGAAGGAGGGCUGUGCUUUAUGCUAAAGAAUGGGGAUCAGUAUUCCAAGCAUCUGCCAUGCGUCUCUCUCCUAGGGUCGUCCUAUUUAUGACUGCCCCAUUGGCUCCUCCAGGCAACCGAGGCAGACAGAGGAAGUACCUUCAGUUCCCCGGCCUCCCGCACUUCCCACCCAACCACGAGGCCCACAUCACUGUGCCCCUGGAGCCCUUCUGAACAAGGUCCCUGACCCGUCCUCAGACAUCCCGUCUGUGUUGUCCCAUCUGCCUCCUUCCUGGUCCUCCAGCCCAGGCCCCACCCCUUACUCCCGUUCAUCUCUCACUACCUCCCAAAGGACCUCACCCGUAUCAGGUCUGAGCCUGCCCCGUUCAAAAUCCUUUCAACAGUUUCCACCUUCAAAAACGUGGGCCCAGGUGCACCGCCCCAUGUUCCAGGCUUUGGCGGGUCAGCCCCACUAAACAGCUCUCCCUCCUAGACCAGACUCGUCACACUUAACCACAUAUCCCCAAGCACCCACAAACACAGACCUACUUAACAACUCUGUGCCUCCACAGACCGUCCCCUCAGCCAGUCUGAACAGGGCUGUCCCUUCCAACCUGCUGGACCAAGAAGCCUUCCUUUCUUAUUCCAGUGUAAAAUACGUGAAGUCACUCGGUCAUGUCCAACUCUUUGCAACCCCAUGGACUGUAGCCCGCCAGGUUCCUCUGUCCAAGGGAUUUUCCAGGCAAGAAUACUGGAGUGGGUUGCCAUUUCCUUCUCCAGGGGAUCUUCAUGACCCAGGGAUUGAACCUGGGUCUCCCUCACUGCAGGUAGACGGUACCGUCUGAGCUACCAGGGAAACCCAGUGUAAAUAUAUUUCGAGUUAUACGUUCCCGUAAGGUUUAUCUAUGUGAACGACUUAAAACACUGGUCAACACGCCAUCCAGAA
ensembl:lncRNA